ensembl:lincRNA
AAAUAGGACUAGACAUGUCAAAUCAAGCAAGAAACACAAAAGAAACUUGGAAACCUUGAAAAGAAAGACAAGGACUGGUAAGUGAAGGUAACAAAACAAAAUUCGUGCUUGAUUCAAGGGAGCUACUUGGAGGCAGGGAUGGAGUUUGAUUCUCAUGA